GCCCAAGUGGCGGAAUGGUAGACGCAGGGGAUUCAAAAUCCCCCGCCUUUGCGGGCGUGCCGGUUCGAGUCCGGCCUUGGGUA
rfam:Roseovarius albus strain CECT 7450 genome assembly, contig: 0014